UGACCUCGGAUCAGGUAGGAGUACCCGCUGAACUUAAGCAUAUCAAUAAGCGGAGGAAAAGAAACCAACAGGGAUUGCCUCAGUAACGGCGAGUGAAGCGGCAAAAGCUCAAAUUUGAAAUCUGGCCCCGUCAGGGGUCCGAGUUGUAAUUUGGAGAGGAUACUUCGGGUGUGGCCGUGGCUUAAGUCCCUUGGAACAGGGCGUCAUAGAGGGUGAGAAUCCCGUCUUGAGUCACCGGUCCACGCCCAUGCGAAGUUCCUUCGACGAGUCGAGUUGUUUGGGAAUGCAGCUCUAAGUGGGUGGUAAAUUUCAUCUAAAGCUAAAUAUUGGCUGGAGACCGAUAGCGCACAAGUAGAGUGAUCGAAAGGUUAAAAGCACCUUGAAAAGGGAGUUAAAUAGCACGUGAAAUUGUUGAAAGGGAAGCGCUUGCAACCAGACUCGAGCGCAGGGUUCAGCGGGCAUGCGUGCCCGUGUACUCCCUGUGCUCGGGCCAGCAUCAGUUUCGGCGGUUGGUUAAAGGCCUCUGGAAUGUAUCGUCCUCCGGGACGUCUUAUAGCCAGAGGCGCAAUGCGGCCAGCCGGGACUGAGGAACGCGCUUCGGCACGGAUGCUGGCAUAAUGGUUGUAAGCGGCCCGUCUUGAAACACGGACCAAGAAGUCUAACAUCCACGCGAGUGUUCGGGUGUCAAACCCGUGCGCGCAGUGAAAGCGAACGGAGGUGGGAGCCCAUCAGGGUGCACCAUCGACCGAUCCUGAAGUCUUCGGAUGGAUUUGAGUAAGAGCGUGGCUGUUGGGACCCGAAAGAUGGUGAACUAUGCCUGAAUAGGGUGAAGCCAGAGGAAACUCUGGUGGAGGCUCGCAGCGGUUCUGACGUGCAAAUCGAUCGUCAAAUUUGGGUAUAGGGGCGAAAGACUAAUCGAACCAUCUGGUAGCUGGUUCCUGCCGAAGUUUCCCUCAGGAUAGCAGUAACGUUUUCAGUUUUAUGAGGUAAAGCGAAUGAUUAGAGGCCUUGGGGUUGAAACAACCUUAACCUAUUCUCAAACUUUAAAUAUGUAAGAAGCCCUUGUUACUUAAGUGAACGUGGGCAUUAGAAUGGAUCGUUACUAGUGGGCCAUUUGUGAAUCCACCCACAAGGU
rnacentral:ncRNA from 1 species